rnacentral:rRNA from 1 species
AGAGUUUGAUCCUGGCUCAGAACGAACGCUGGCGGCGUGCUUAACACAUGCAAGUCGAACGAGAAAGAGUUCCUUCGGGAACUUGAGUAAAGUGGCGCACGGGUGAGUAACGCGUAGAUAAUCUACCCUUAUAUAUGGAAUAACUGAGCGAAAGCUUAGCUAAUACCGUAUACGCUUUUCCGGUCGCGAGGCCGGGAGAGGAAAGAUGGCCUCUGACUCAAGCUAUUGUAUAAGGAUGAGUCUGCGUACCAUUAGCUAGUAGGUGGGGUAAUGGCCUACCUAGGCUACGAUGGUUAGCGGGUCUGAGAGGAUGAUCCGCCACACUGGAACUGGAACACGGACCAGACUCCUACGGGAGGCAGCAGUGAGGAAUUUUGCGCAAUGGGGGAAACCCUGACGCAGCGACGCCGCGUGGGUGAUGAAGGCUUUCGAGUCGUAAAGCCCUGUCAGGUGGGAAGAAACGUCAUCGAGCUAAUACCGCGAUGAUUUGACGGUACCACUAAAGGAAGCACCGGCUAACUCCGUGCCAGCAGCCGCGGUAAUACGGAGGGUGCAAGCGUUGUUCGGAAUUACUGGGCGUAAAGGGCGCGUAGGCGGCGCUGUAAGUCAGAUGUGAAAGUCCACGGCUUAACCGUGGAAGUGCAUCUGAUACUGCAGCGCUUGAGUAUCGGAGGGGAAAGUAGAAUUCCCGGUGUAGAGGUGAAAUUCGUAGAUAUCGGGAGGAAUACCGGUGGCGAAGGCGACUUUCUGGACGAAUACUGACGCUGAUGCGCGAAAGCGCGGGGAGCAAACAGGAUUAGAUACCCUGGUAGUCCACAGCUGUAAACGAUGUACACUAGAUGUAGGGGGUGUUGACCCCUCCUGUGUCGCAGCUAACGCAUUAAGUGUACCGCCUGGGGAGUACGGUCGCAAGAUUAAAACUCAAAGGAAUUGACGG